GCGGGUGUAGUUCAGUGGUAGAACACUUCCUUGCCAAGGAAGUUGUCGCGCGUUCGAGUCGCGUCACCCGC
rnacentral:tRNA from 1 species